rnacentral:misc_RNA from 1 species
GAUGAAGAACGUAGUGAAAUGCGAUACUUGGUGUGAAUUGCAGAAUCCCGUGAACCAUCGAGUCUUUGAACGCAAGUUGCGCCCGAAGCCAUCAGGUUGAGGGCACGUCUGCCUGGGCGUCACAUAUCGUUGCCCAAUGCCUAUUGCAGUGCAAUAGGAAUUUCUAGGGCGAAUGAUGGCUUCCCGUGAGCGUUGUUGCCUCGCGGUUGGUUGAAAAUCGAGUCCUUGGUAGGGUGUGCCAUGGUAGAUGGUGGUCGAGUUAGAACGAUACCGAUCAUGUGCAUGCUCCCCAAAAUAUGGCCUCUAUGACCCACACGCGUCUUUUGACGCUCAUGACGAGACCUCAGGUCAGGCGGGGCUACCCGCUGAAUUUAAGCAUAUCAUAAGCGGAGGA